UUCCGGUUGAUCCUGCCGGAAGCCAUUGCUAUCAGGGUUUGACUAAGCCAUGCGAGUCGAGAGGUGUAAGACCUCGGCAUACUGCUCAGUAACACGUGGUUAACCUGCCUUAAGGUGGAGAAUACUCCCGGGAAACUGGGGCUAAUGCUCCAUAGUGGAUAUGUCCUGGAAUGGUAUAUCCUCGAAAGAUCCGUCGCCUUAGGAUGGGACUGCGUCCGAUUAGGUUGUUGGCGGGGUAACGGCCCACCAAGCCAUUGAUCGGUACGGGUUGUGGGAGCAAGAUCCCGGAGAUGGAUUCUGAGACAUGAAUCCAGGCCCUACGGGGCGCAGCAGGCGCGCAAACUUUACAAUGCGAGCAAUCGUGAUAAGGAAACCCUGAGUGCCUGUCGAUGCAGGCUGUUCAUAUAUCUAAAUCAUAUGUGAAGAAAGGGCAGGGCAAGACCGGUGCCAGCCGCCGCGGUAAUACCGGCUGCUCGAGUGAUGGCCACUAUUACUGGGUUUAAAGCGUCCGUAGCUUGACUGUUAGGUCUCUUGGGAAAUCUUCACGCUCAACGUGAAGGCGUCUAAGAGAUACCGGCAGUCUUGGAACUGGGAGAGGUAAACCGUACUUCGGGGGUAGGAGUGAAAUCUUGUAAUCCUCGAGGGACGACCUAUGGCGAAGGCAGUUUACCAGAACAGCUUCGACAGUGAGGGACGAAAGCUGGGGGAGCAAACGGGAUUAGAUACCCCGGUAGUCCCAGCCGUAAACAAUGUGCGUUAGGUGUGUCGGUAACCACGUGUUACUGAUGCGCCGAAGAGAAAUCGUGAAACGCACCACCUGGGAAGUACGGUCGCAAGGCUGAAACUUAAGGAAUUGGCGGGGGAGCACCACACAAGGUGGAGCCUGCGGUUUAUUUGAGUCACCCCCGGG
rnacentral:rRNA from 1 species